CCCGCGGCUAGUUGUCAUGUUGUUUGAAUUUUGAAAGAGGCAUGGGAUUUUCAAAUUAGAUUAGAUUUGGUAGGGAGAUCGAGGAUCGGCUGAUGGCAUAGUUUGCAGGAACGUCUUCCCAAUUCAGAUAAUCAGGAUAGGUGGUCAAAGUUAGAUGGACGAAGUCAGGAUCGGUGAUUGGUAGUCGAAGCAAAUAAAUCAAGAGAAUCUGUUAGGCU
rnacentral:lncRNA from 1 species